UACGUAGGGGGCGAGCGUUGUCCGAAGUUACUGGCGUAAAGCGCGCGUAGGCGGUCUAUUAAGUCUGAGGUGAAAGGUUCAGUGCUCAACGCGAACAGUGCCUUGGAUACUGGUAGACUUGAGUGUGGCAGAGGAGUAUGGAAUUCCUGGUGUAGCGGUGAAAUGCGUAGAUAUCAGGAGGAAUACCGAUGGCGAAGGCAGUACUCUGGGCUAACACUGACGCUGGAGGUGCGAAAGCGUGGGGAGCAAACGGG
rnacentral:rRNA from 1 species